UUUUGCCAAGGUCGACUUUGCCCUCCAUUGUUUUAGCUGUCAGUAAAAUAUAACAUCAAAUACCGAGGUCAAUGCAACCAACUUCCCCCCUCCCCUCAAAAUUGCUGUCCUUGACUAAUGCAACAGGGGAAAUUAAGCAGUCUUAGGGGUCCUAAGGCUGAAGAAA